rnacentral:lncRNA from 13 species
UGUCAUCCUGGCUCCUAUCGGACCUUGGCUUUUGUCCGAAAAUGUUCUUCAACCAAUCUUCAACCACUCCCUGUUCCUCACCGCCCCUGUCCCAUAUAUCCUUGGACGGGUCUCCCUCCAUCAGAUGGCAACACCACCAUCCUUACGGUGGUGGAUAGGCCAAAGCCACCCAUUUUAUCCCCGUUCCUAAGUUGCCCUCAGCUAAGGAGACGGCCCAGCUCAUGUUGCAGCACGUCUUCCGGAUCCAUGGACUUCCGGUCGACAAGGUCCCCAGCUCUCAUCCCGGUUCUGGAAGGCAUUCUGCACCCUCAUUGGGUCGUCAGCCAGCCUGUCCUCAGAUUUUCAUUGCCUGUCUAACGGCCAGUUGGAGCGAGCCAAUCAGGGCCUGGAGACGACUCUUCAUUGCCUCGUCUCCACCAGUCUCACCACCUGGAGCCAGCAACUCGUGUGGGUGGAAUAUGCCUGCAACACUCUUCCCUGUUCUACUACUGGUCUCUCGCCUUUUGAGUGUUCCCUGGGAUUUCAGUCCCCGCUCUUCCCGAAGCAAGAGGAAGAGGUCAGAAUAUCUUCUGCCCAGAUGUUUGUCAGUUGCUGUCUCCGUACCUGGAAAGAGAGUCCGGACCCCCUCCAGGUAUCGACGACAGACGGACCGCCACCAGACCCCUGCUCCCACUACCGUCUUGAGCAGGCUUUCCACUCGGGAUCUGCCCCUCCGGGUGGAGUCCUGCAAACUUUCCCCCCGUUGUAUCGGCCCUUUUCCCAUCUCUAAAGUCCUUAGCCCCUCUGCUGUUCUCCUUCUGUUGCCCCGCACCCGCCGUAUAUAUCACACUUUCCAUGUAUCUAGAAUUAAACCCCUGUCUCACAGCCCUUUGUCUCCUGUUUUCAGUCUUCCCAGUUCUAACCUUUCUGCCUUUCCUGACAACAGAUCCUGCCUGACACUGAUUUGGAUUACGACUCUUUGCUUGCCUUGACCUACCGAUUGCCGGCCCCUUGUACCGUAAUAAAAUCUGAGACUCUUACUAUCCGCCUCCUGUGUCUGCAUCUGGGUCUUAGCCUGAGCC